rnacentral:lncRNA from 1 species
AAUGCUUAGAAUAAUGACCAGCACAUUAAAAAGCACAAUAUGUUUGCUACAGAGAUAAUGCAGGUGAUGAAAAGGACAAUGACAAUGAUAUAUUUUUUUCAUUUUUGUAUUUCUAACACGUAACAUAGUGUCUAGCAUAUAUGCUGUAUAAAUAUUUGUUGAAUUGUAGUAUGUUCAUCAACAUACAAAGUGGCAACUAAAAGAUCUUUCAGAAUGUGUUCUGUCAUUAUUUCUUUCCUCCCUCCCAUAGGAGAAUCCGAGUGAAGAAGAUGCUGCAAUUGUAGACAAAAUUCUAUCUUCUAGAACCGUAAAAAAGGAAGUAAGUACUGGUACAUUACAUUUUACACUUCAUAUUCUGUGGCCUGUUUAAAAGAGUCACCAUUACUGAUUUUCUUUUCUUAGAUAUCACCUGGAGUGAUGAUUGAUACAGAAGAAUUUUUUGUAAAAUACAAGAAUUAGUAAGUAUUUGAGUUAGAAAAAUAAAAGAAAGAUGUUGAUUUACAUAUAAAUUAAUAUAUUUAAUAAAUUAAAAUUAUGAUUUUCAUUUUA